rnacentral:rRNA from 1 species
UUCGCAAUGCCCGAAAGGGUGACGAAGCGACGCCGCGUGUGGGAAGAAGGCCUUCGGGUUGUAAACCACUGUCGGGAGUUAAGAAAUGCAAGGAUAUGAAUAGUGUCUUUGCUUGACUAAGGCUCCGGAGGAAGCCACGGCUAACUCUGUGCCAGCAGCCGCGGUAAUACAGAGGCGGCAAGCGUUGUUCGGAAUUAUUGGGCGUAAAGAGCACGUAGGCGGCUAUGUAAGUCGGUUGUGAAAGCCUUCCGCUCAACGGGAGAACAGCAUCCGAUACUACAUGGCUUGAGUGCGGGAGGGGAGAGUGGAACUUCUGGUGGAGCGGUGAAAUGCGUAGAUAUCAGAAGGAACGCCGGCGGCGAAAGCGGCUCUCUGGCCCAUAACUGACGCUGAGUGUGCGAAAGCUAGGGGAGCAAACGGGAUUAGAUACCCCGGCAGUCCUAGCCGUAAACGAUGGGCACUAAGUAGAGGGGUUUU